rnacentral:rRNA from 1 species
GACGAACGCUGGCGGCGUGCCUAAUACAUGCAAGUAGAACGCUGAAGAGAGGAGCUUGCUCUUCUUGGAUGAGUUGCGAACGGGUGAGUAACGCGUAGGUAACCUGCCUUGUAGCGGGGGAUAACUAUUGGAAACGAUAGCUAAUACCGCAUAACAGUGGAUGACACAUGUCAUUUAUUUGAAAGGGGCAAUUGCUCCACUACAAGAUGGACCUGCGUUGUAUUAGCUAGUAGGUGAGGUAAUGGCUCACCUAGGCGACGAUACAUAGCCGACCUGAGAGGGUGAUCGGCCACACUGGGACUGAGACACGGCCCAGACUCCUACGGGAGGCAGCAGUAGGGAAUCUUCGGCAAUGGGGGCAACCCUGACCGAGCAACGCCGCGUGAGUGAAGAAGGUUUUCGGAUCGUAAAGCUCUGUUGUAAGUCAAGAACGGGUGUGAGAGUGGAAAGUUCACACUGUGACGGUAGCUUACCAGAAAGGGACGGCUAACUACGUG